rnacentral:rRNA from 1 species
UGGGGAAUAUUGGACAAUGGGCGAAAGCCUGAUCCAGCCAUGCCGCGUGUGUGAAGAAGGUCUUCGGAUUGUAAAGCACUUUAAGUUGGGAGGAAGGGCAGUAAGCGAAUACCUUGCUGUUUUGACGUUACCGACAGAAUAAGCACCGGCUAACUCUGUGCCAGCAGCCGCGGUAAUACAGAGGGUGCAAGCGUUAAUCGGAAUUACUGGGCGUAAAGCGCGCGUAGGUGGUUCGUUAAGUUGAAUGUGAAAGCCCCGGGCUCAACCUGGGAACUGCAUCCAAAACUGGCGAGCUAGGGUAGGGCAGAGGGUGGUGGAAUUUCCUGUGUAGCGGAGAAAUGCGUAGAUAUAGGAAGGAACACCAGUGGCGAAGGCGACCACCUGGGCUCAUACUGACACUGAGGUGCGAAAGCGUGGGGAGCAAACAGG